rnacentral:rRNA from 1 species
AAGACGGUGGCAUGUUGCACGCGUCUGUUUUACACAUCCACNUCACACCUUGAUGCACCCGUCUGUUAGUUCUAUGGUUCGGAAGACCCCGUCUUCCUUCCGUGGCUCUACGUCUUUACACACACGCNGUUAGCGACGUCUCAUGGAAUGUUUUUAUGCGUUUAACGCGAUACAAUACAACUUUCAGCAACGGAUCUCUUGGCUCUCGCAUCGAUGAAGAACGCAGCGAAAUGCGAUAAGUAAUGUGAAUUGCAGAAUUCANUGAAUCAUCGAAUCUUUGAACGCACCUUGCGCCCCUUGGUUAUUCCUUGGAGCAUGCCUGUUUGAGUAUCAUGAACACCUCAACUCUCGUGGUCUUCCACGAUGAGCUUGGACUUUGGAGGUUUGCUGGCCCUGUGGCCGGCUCCUCUCAAACGAAUCANCUUGCCGAUGUUUGGUGGCAUCACGGGUGUGAUAACUAUCUACGCUCGNGGUCGUCUGCCAGGUUACCNUCAGCGAUGAAGGUUCAUUGGGGCUCACAAACGUCUCUCCUCAGCGAAGACAACUUUUGAACGUUCGAUCUCAAAUCAGGUAGGACUACCCGCUGAACUUAAGCAUAUCAAUAAGCGGAGG